CGGCAAGAGCUCAGAUUUGAAAUCGUGUUUCGGCACGAGUUGUAGAGUGUAGGCGGGAGUCUCUGUGGAGCGCGGUGUCCAAGUCCCUUGGAACAGGGUGCCUGAGAGGGUGAGAGCCCCGUAGGGUGCUGCGCGAAGCUUUUGAGGCCCUGCUGACGAGUCGAGUUGUUUGGGAAUGCAGCUCCAAGCGGGUGGUAAAUUCCAUCUAAGGCUAAAUAUUGGCGAGAGACCGAUAGCGAACAAGUACUGUGAAGGAAAGAUGAAAAGCACUUUGAAAAGAGAGUGAAACAGCACGUGAAAUUGUUGAAAGGGAAGGGUAUUGGGCUCGACAUGGGGGGUGCGCACCGCUGUCUCUUGUAGGCGGCGCUCUGGGCGCCCUCUGGGCCAGCAUCGGUUCCUGCUGCGGGAGAAGGGGCUCCGGAAAGUGGCUCUUCGGAGUGUUAUAGCCGGGGCCAGAUGCCGCGUGUGGGGACCGAGGACUGCGGCUUCUGUCUCGGAUGCUGGCAUAACGGCGCAAUACCGCCCGUCUUGA
rnacentral:rRNA from 1 species